ensembl:lncRNA
AGCUCCUGACGUACAUCCUCCUCCUCCUCCUCCUCCUCCUCCUCCUCCACCCGGCUUCUCACCUGCAUGUCUCGCAGUCCUUGUAGCACCUGCUUUCUCUCCUCCAGCUGGAGAACAUUAAAUAGUAGAUUCCAAUUUGCAGAUCUGUACAAUUAAAUAAAUCAUGAUUAUUAAACUGUCAACGUGUGGUAACAUUAGGAAACCGGUUCACCUGAUGUGUUUUUUAUUUUGUCUCACCCCAACUGUGUAGAUCUGAUGCCUCUCUCUGUCUCCCUUUCUUUAUUUCAUCAGUACAACCGCAGGGUCAUUCACAGUCUGCCUGCAUGCGUGUGUGUGUGUGUGUGUGUGUGUGUAUGUAUAUGAAAAAUAAACAGACUAACACAGACAAAGACGUAGACUCAUCAGACAGGCAGUACAUGCAAAGACAUAAUGGAAAAAUGCGGGACUGAAAUUCCUGGAAGGGGGAAAAUCACAGAGAGGAAAUGGACGGACCAAAGGAGAAUAAAGAAGGUGAAGGCAAGAAAAAGGGGAAACCAAUAAACUGAGUGACGCAUGGUCUCUCAUUUGCUCUGCAACCACCGGAUAAUGUAUCUCUAUUUCAUCUAGUUUGAUUUCUUCUCAAAAUAUGUUGAUGAAAAAGGGGAGAUGGAAGAGUAGAGCCAGAUAGGAGGGCGUAGAAAGAAAGAAGAAAGGACCAUUGGUUAUAUUGUAAUUAUAAAAACGAUAAACUACCAAUUAGAAAAGUUGACGAUAUAUUACUCCACUACCCGUGUAAUAUUGUGUAGUGUUCAGCGUCAUAUUUUCCUCUACAGUCAACAUGCAUGCACCUUCUUCUGAAGCUGUGUGCCGUCCCGCUGGUAUUGUUGCAGUUGGUUCGAACUCCACCUCCCUGUGCAGAUUCUCCAUCUGCUCCCUCAGCUGCAAUGCAUUCUGGGUUCUCUGCUCUUUCAGGGCAGCAGCCAGCUAGAAAUUCAAAGAGGGAGACAAAGGACACAUUGCCACACAAGUUAAAUAGUGUGUGUUCCUUCUCACACAGUAAUGACAUCACUACUGUAUUGGGGUUAAAGGAUUAGGCUAUAAAGGCUAAAAGUGACAAGGAAGUGUUGCUUUCAUGAUGAUGUAAACUGGAAGGACGACUGUCACACAAUUUAUUAACAAGCUUAACACUCUUACAUGCUGAAAAUGUGUCUGAUAAGAGACGCUGGUUGCAUUAUAGGUCUGAAUACAACCAAUGCCCGGAACUCAUAUUAUAAUAACAAGGGGCACUGUGGUUAUGCAAAGCUUUGGAACAGUGUGUGACAGUGACAUCUGUGUGACUGGCCUUGUCAUCAAACUCUGGCAGCCAAAAAGUGAAUUGUCAGCGACAUGAAACACACAGAUUUUGGCUGCGAGAGUGGGGCUAAAGUUGCAUGUGACAUAUUUUCAGUCGGGAUUAGCCAAGGCUACCUCGUUCUGCAGGAGAUCAGACAAACUGAGGGUCAGUGCCACGGGCUCAGGUCACGGCCGGUGUGUUUGUCUCUGUGUGUUUAUGCCGUCAAGUGUGAACAAAGAAAAACCGUCAGGGAGAAAAUAAGGACAGAUUGGUGUGUGUGAAAAUGUGAAUAUUUGUUCCGGUGUGUGUGCGUGUGUAUUAUGCUUGUGGUUUGAGAGACUAUGAGAGACUAAGAUUGCGUGCACUAGAUCAAAUGAGAAAACACCACUUCCUCUUAGCUCGGUGAGUGUGCGUGUGACGAUGGCCUGUGGGUGUAUAUCCUUUUGUGCAUGCAAUUGUGUGUAUCUGUGCAUGUACACAGCUGCCAUUUGUAUUGAAAAAGUGAUCACAUCCUUUAAUACCAGAAACACGGCAGGAAGCCGAUAAUGAACAAUGACUUGUAUGAACAUGUGUGUGCAAACUGUAACAUUACACCUAUAGAGUGCAAGCUGACUGAAGGCGAUAUCUUAUUUUAGAAAUGAAUUACACUUAAUGGAAAAUGAUCGGUGAGUUUGAUGAAAGUCUCAUUGACAGUAUAUACUAUAAAAUUAUAUUUUUAUGUAUAUUUAAAAUAACAAAAUAAUAUAAAAUGUUCUCAUUCAAUUUAGUGUCAAAACGUUUGACUGUUUCUGUCUGUGUACAAAAAAUGCAAUAUACAGACACAGAGGUGCACACUCACUCACAUACUCAUUAUUCUUCUGAGAUGAUAAUAACAAUAAGCUGGCUGGUUACAUUUAAUUAACGUUUACAUGUGGAGUAUAUGCUGUAAUGUAGAGCGGUGUGUACAUCUGUCUGAUGACAUGUGCUGGGUGAGUGACGAAGUUAAAUAAUUGGCUGGUGUUUAGUCAUCGGUUGUUGCUGUUUCAUAGUGAAUACGACAAAUGUUAACAUUUCUGGCCAGAAAAUUGGUUGAAUUUGAUCAUAAUUUCAUUGCAUUUCAUUUCAUUUCAUUGCAUUUCAGUACUCUAUAGAAAAAUAGUCCCUGUAUGCACGUAAACAGCAUUGGGUCUUCUUGGAAGAUCUUGCACCAUCUCAUCGCUCAUGACAUCCACCUUAAUAGUCCGGUUGCGGAAGUUUGCGUUGCCUGAAAACGAUAAUUUGUGGGAUUUCCGGGUCUUUUUCGGCGAUCGCCACCGAGUUAAAGGUUGAAACGUCAACUAACGAUCGCGCAAAAUCUAACCUGUUACUUUAACUGUACAUUAUCGCUCAAUAAUGCAACCCCGUGACUCUCAAGCAAUCAGAACGCUGGAUUUCAUCUACCCGUAUUAUAAUCAUUCAACCGGUUCUGUCUGAUUGUUUUACAGUUAAUCUGACAACUGGAGAAAUUGUCCUCAACCUCAAAUAUCACAGUCUUCAAUUUUAAAACCAGUAAUCCGAUUCGGAUCUGAAGAAAAGCCAGAGCACCGUUCAAUGUAAAGCAACAAUGUUGCACAAUUACUAAGAAUUUAUAAAAACAAAAGGAAAAAAAACAAUCAGACAGCAGUGAUUUAAUGCUAUGAUCUACUUUUCUACUCUGGUAUCUUCCCUGUUAAAGUCCUCUGAACUGUGACAAAGGCUUGGAUUCCGUCGUAACGUCUGUUUACUUUGACAGACUGGAACUAAAUGUCGGCCCGUCAGGAACCGAUACACCCAAAGUCACUGAGUAAGAGUAGCGUUUGGAUUUGUACAAGUUCAACAAACAGAACUGUAUUGUUGCUUCUACAGAGGAUAUAACCAAUAUCCACUUACAAUAACCAAUUUAUUGUGGUAUUUACUUACUUAUAAGGAUGUCUGGACCAGUUUUAUUCUUUUUUCAAAUAUAAUCCAGCAGCGUUGUGUACUGUUCCAAAAUGAUCAGGCAAUUUAAAUAUAUUGGGCAGUUAAUCAGCAGUACAAUCAAAAAUUACCUUUAAGUAAAUUUGCUGUUUGCAGUCUUCUUCGUCUUGGUCAGGGCUCUGGCAUGGGACUCUAUUAAAGGAAAUCAGAUAAACAUGUAAAUACAUUGCAGCAUUUGGUCCCUCAGAUAUCUCACUUUGCAAUACAAAUUGUGCCUGUGCCUCAGCUUAACGGUAAAGGAAUCCAGUGGCCUUCAGCUUGUUACGGUUUCUAAUUGCAACCCAUUGAAUUCCUUUAGGUUCACCUCUCCCAUUCCGAGAGCAUCAAAAACCUACAACGCCUCCAAAGCCAUCGAUCGCUUUGUUCAUUCCAGGCUUCUAGAAACACUGCAAUGGCAACAUGGCAGACUGCAUGGCAAAGGACCCGCUCCCUACGGCAUGUAAUUAUAACAAAUGCUCAUUCUAUGUGGACAAAAUAAACUAAUAGUUGAAUAUUAGAUUCCCUCUUUGCCAGUAAAUCCCCUGAAAUACAAAGUUCCUAUAAAAUGAAUGUGGACUCGAAAGUAAAACGAACCUGUUAACAUGAAGCUUCCACAGUGUAAUGAAAAGAUAAUGUAAAAAUAAGAAGAUACCACCUAGUCAGAGUAAAAUGCUCUCGCUCGUACACAAACACACACACGGGAGAUCCAUUAAGCAUUUUGUCAGUGCAGCACUUUUGGCAGUUGAAUAGAUAAGUAAGCCAACAUCACAUCUAUAUCCUGAUAAUCCAAAAGGCUUUGAUAAUAUGAUGAUCCUCUCAGCAUGUUCGGUUACACGAGGAAUAUUUAACAGGAACACUCCCAGCAGUCUCCAGGGGAAAAGAGACAGGGAGACGAUAAAGCAAAAGAAACAGCUGCAAAAGAAAGUCAGACAGAGUUGACAUAGCAGGGGGGAUUUCAUUGAUUUGCUGAUCCAAAUCCAAACAAAAUGUGUCAUCUCAGCAGCUGUUCAUGCUGAUAAGAUGUGUAGCAGCACGUAUCUGAAUCCAGCCACCGAGAAGUUAAGGCCGUAUGUUUCCUAACAAUAUUUGUUCAGUUUGAGUUGGCUGCAAAGGCCGAUGACAUGAUUUCAAUAUAAGUGUAAAUCCCAAUGUGACUGCGUCAUAGUCCUUUCUGUGAGUAAGUAGGCCCAUCUCUAAAAUAAAACUGCGUCAGCUAUGUGUGUGUCUGUGUGUGUACAAGCACAGUUGACUGUGUGUAUAUCUCAAAGUGGAGUGGAUGAUCUGCUGUAUGAUGGAGAGCAGCUACAGUCCAUCUCUUCCUAGUCGGUGCAGACACAAUAUUAUUCACUCCACUGGCUCUGGCUAAUCACAUCAGCCUACACACACACACACACGGAUGCAGACCCAGACAGACAGCCAUGCAUGAAUACUUCCCAAGAGUUGUAAGUUUGAUGCCAAGGUCUGACUCCAGCAGCUCAUUUAAAUGUGCCUAUCUUGUAAAAGAUGGGACUCGGAGGGGAGAUGUGAGCUUUAAAAGGAGUGUCGCUGUUCCACCAGCAUCAUGAAACCCUCCACCAGUAAGAAAACAUGACAGGUUAGACAGGUUCAGGGUUGUCCUGUGGCACGCACACCUCUACACUCUCGAUGUUUUGGGGUCAGCACAGAUAUAUUUAGGAUGGGAUGAGGACAUUUCUACUUUGCACGACCGACAUUAUAACAGUUUGUGUAAAAUAUUUUUGUCCAAAGCGCAUAAUCUUUUUGCAGUUGCUCUCAGCUGCUGAAAAAGUGAGGAUUUGAUGUUUUAUGAAGCUGAAGACUCUCUAGUGUACAACGAACUGCUGAUGCACGACUUCCUGCGUGUUUGUAUCCCGCUGUGAUCUAUAAUUCUGCUUCCCUGGUUAUUAAAAAAAGAAGACCCCUGCAAAGGUAGACGUUUUAAAAUCAACCCUAAGCCUGCAUGUGCACAUGUGUGCGUGUCGGCAUGUCUGUCUAUGCGUGUGUGAGACCCCCCGGGGAGCGGCAGCGUGCAAAUCCAGCCCUCGGAAGGAGGUCUGGGGGGAUUACAGGGAGGAAUGAUGGGAAAAUCUGGGAGCACUCUCUCAUUCACUCACACGCCAGGCUGCUAUUAAGGACAGGCGAGUGUGUGUGUGUGUCAGUGUGUGGGUGUGCGUGCGGCCUGAACGGCUGCUACCUCGUCUAAAGGCACAUUCUAUUUUUCCACUUAAUGCUGAUACAACCUGCGUCUGCACACGCACGCAAACAAGCUCAAUGGCAAUUUUAAAUAGUAUUUAUUGUUUAUGAAUCAACAACGUGGGUCAACAGGAAUCUUCCCUGAAAUCAUCUUAAACGGCCUCUUUGCUUUUUCUUCAGGGAAGAAGUCAAGAAUCUUCUCCCCAUGCUUUUGCAGCAGGCAUGGACUGACUUACGAAUGCACAGAAAACUUCCCUGUGAACAAAAAGGGCCGAGUGUCACAACUAAAGUACAAACCCAGACAACGAUUAUAUAAUGUUUACAGUCUGGGAGGAAAAUGUCAAAAAUACAAACACAGAAGAGAGAACAAAGCGCUGUUAGACAGUGAACAAAGCAGAAGGGAGGGAUCUUACAGGUGUGCUGUUGUGAUUCAUCUAUUUAAGUCUUUUAUUAGCCUAAUUGUGUGAAGCCAAACCACUUCCCUGUAUAAGGGAAGACAGAAGGGAUCAUCAGCUCGCUCACGAACACAUUCCUCCGCUGCUUGAAACAAGUCCUCUCACAUCUAACAGACGGAUGAGGAACUGCACAGAUCCUCCUGACCUCUCGUGAUUCUCUCCACCUUUUGCCACUCCACCCCCCCGCCCUCAUAUUUAUUUUCCUCGCUUACCGAAUCAAGGGCAAGCUGUCAUGUUUCAAGCGUGUGCGAUUGUUUGCGGCGCCUGUGACCCAGGCUGCGUGCACGCGACAGCCAGGCAGUGCAACGACUGCAACCGCAAGUCAUGCUCUCCACUCCUCCUCCACUGUAUCCGUCCUUCGCUUAUUCUUUGCCUCCCACUAUUCCUUCGUCCAUCCCUUCUCCACUCGUGUGUCUUGUAUGAUUCCCGACCCGCGGUCGCAGCGCGCUGCCGCUGGGAGGCCGUUGUCUGUUAGGUAACUUAUCUUUUUGCUGUCAGCGGGCAACUGGUUUUCAUCAACAACGGCUUUGGUGCACAAUAGACAAUUUAAAACUGCAGCCAAUAGAGACGAUGGGGAGGAAACAUAACGUGACGGACUGACUUUCUUCAGAAGCAGUAACUCUGCUUUAAUGUAGGUCUGUUUUGAGUUUAAUUUUACACAAAUGCCGCUAAUUUAAUCAUCAUAACAUCACUUAUUUUUCUCGUAAUUGUCCAUUCGUAGUGCGGAAUAAAUCGUCCCAGUACUUCAUUCUAUAUGGACGCUACAGCAAAAUUAAACAUUAUGGUGGGUAUGAAGGGGACAUGAAGCUACAUUUUCACCAUCAACACGUAUUAAGGUCUUAUAAACCCAUAUUAAGCAGCAGAAAGGCUAUUACGCAAUCCACAUCUGUCGUUACAAUCUACAGAACAAUCUACCCCGUUUGUAAACGCGUGGGGAGGGUUUAGCGUUGCACACAGAGCGUGUUUGAAUGAAUAUGAAUGACUACGGGAAGAGGAAAAAGAUGGAACUGGAUGAGAUUGUUAUUGGAGCCUUGGUAAGAGGAAGCACAGGAGCUUAACGUCUAUAAAUGUCGUAUAAAUCUGCGUGCGAGUGUGUAAGGACGACUUCAAAGGGAACGGCGUGCGAUUUUUUAUGGGCCGCUGGAGGUCAGUGGAAGUGGUCAAACCCUGACUUUAUAACAAAGGCACAUGAUAAUCUUGGAAUGUGCGUGCGUGUUCAUGUGCAUAUGUUUAAAUACUUGCAUUGUGAACACAAGCGAGUACAAUCAAUCAUUCAUCAGCCUCACAAAGAAGGACGUUUAGACACACACACACACACACACACAAAGAAACACUGACGUUACUGUUACUUACCCCUGCAUAGAGAUGACCUAUAUACACACCUAUACAUGUAAAUGGUUUAUUUCUGUUCAUCGCCAUGAAACAACCAGCUAUGGUGGAAAUGAGUGGAUAAUGUCCUCAAAGGAAAUCAAUAGUAUCAUAAGCUUGUUUGUGCUUAAGUAUUUAUUAUAGACUAACGUAUAGGAAAUUCAAGAAUAGACAAAUUAUCGAACAGACAGGAGUUCAUGGCUGCUGAAAGAGUGUUUCUCUCCCUGAGAGGAGCAGGAAGGUCUGACACAGCUUUUCGGAGGAAGAGAAGCUUUAGUACACAUCAGAGGUCCCUGAUGUCCACUCAGAAGGAAAAUCCUGCACAGAGUAACAGGACACAGGUGUGAAGGAAUGCACACUUCAAGCCACCCCAAGUUCACGAGAGGUCACAGAGUUUCCACGAGAACUCUGUGCAAUCGGAUCAAUUUAAGCCCAACACUAGCAAACCCACGUUGUGUCGAUUUGAUCAUCUGAAAUGAGGCACAAUACUCAUGGAGAGGUAACACCUUACAAAAGAGACCGGACAAAGCUUUACUCCCCUUGUGUGCUCUCCGAAACAUACUGGUUCAUCUCCCAAAAAGGGAUAUAUAAGUGAUGAUGUCACUUUUCAAACCAGCAAAGCGAAGCCAUGCACAGAAGCUGGCUUCCUGUGAGCUGCAUGUGGCCGACACAUUUUAAACCGCCGUUUAAAAUGUGACACAAAUAAGUCGCACAGGGAAGAUGUCAGAUCAGUUUAGAAACCGCAAAAGCACAAUGAGCAGUUAAAACUAGAAAUGUUCUUGAAACAGACUGAGUAGGAUGUACUGUUAAUCUGUUUUGUUAUGAGUGUUAUGUUGUUCAGGGGAAGAAGUUAAAUGGUUUUUGCUUUAGUUUGCGGUGUCGGUGGCGCUCUGGUGGCGUGGGAAGCUGUCGAACUGUCACAGUGACAGAGAAGGUGAGGAGGGUUGUUUUGUUGUUGCCCUGCUAGCAUGUGUGAGUUAGUGUGCGUCAGGGAGCUGUUGGUUGAGCAUGUGUGUGUAAUAAAAGGACACCUGCAAGAUGACGUCUCGCAGCUUUCUUUUUCCAGGGUUGCUGUACCAAACGUAUUCACGGUCCGGAGACACUCGUCGACGAACGUUGAUGUUAAACAUGCUCAAAUUCAAAACGCAAAGCCGACAAGCAUUGAGAGUUUAUUUUUAAAAUGGGUUUCUGGACGUUCCCCGUUAUACUCAAAAAUUAGAUGCUCGGUGAAACGGUAGUCUGUGAGCAGAGAGCAGAGCGGACGGAGCGGAACAGCACAGAUAACCCAGUCGGGACCUUUUCUCUCCUCAGCUCUCUCCUUUCCAGCUGGACCUUCUCCAGAGCUUCCUUCCCCCGUGUCACUUCCUCCUCAGCUGCGCAGAGUGACGCCAGCUGCCCCUGCAUGAUGUCACACCUGCGUUGGCAUGACAACCACCUCUCGUGUUUCUCCGCCAGCUCCUCUUUUAACCUGUCGACGAGAUGCAGAGGAUGAGCACAAACCCACACAUUUUCAUCUACAUUAUGUCUGUGCAUUUUACAUAACUAUACAAAACACACACUCGCGCUCACACAUGCCGGCAAACAGUAAGUCCACACUGACUGGUCAACAGGUGAGUUUAGGCGUCAGAGCAACUCUGUUAAGCUGUAAUCUUAUCAAGCUCCUUUUAGCGGUUGACACAUAUAAACACACCAAAGCUGGGUCAAACCCCAAACUCUAAUUAGUUAGCAUUAGUUUCGGUCAUCCCCCGCAGGUAGACGUCUUUUUUUUUUUUUUAAAUCAAUGGCACGCGAUCGACUGGUACUGCCUUUGAGAUCGACUACUCGAUCGCGAUCGACGUAUUGAGCACCCCUGAUCUAGCACAUCGAUGGAAAGACUAAUGAGGCAAUAAUGGAAAUGCACAGACAUGUUUUCUUAUCUCUCCUCCUUAGUCCAAGGAAAGCGUGACAAUAUAAAUGACCAUGAGUCAACAAUCCAUUACGGUAUUGACAAUCAGUUAAUGAAAAGACCUCAACUAAUUUGAAGUGAAACUGGAGAUAUUCAACAUAAAGCCGCAACUACUAGAUAGCGUAUAGAUUUCUCUCCAGAAAGCAAAGCUAGUUGACUGCAUACACAUCACUAUUAAGCAGGCAUGGGCUCCGAUCUUGGAUCAUUUCGCAAAUUGUUGUCUCCUGUUACGUUUCCUCUGAGCAAUGGAGGGAGCGGCCUUUCCUCCCCCAAACCUCACAUCCCUAUACGCAAAGAGCCGCCCCCGCCCCAAGUGGACGGCUAUCAUGUGUUGAGCAGCAUAGGAGCCAGAGGGUGAGAUCAGAGGCCGCUGUGUGGGAAGGGAAAUACAUUGACAGUGUAAUUGAACACACCAGGCUGCCGAUGGCUUAGAAAAAGAAUACCAGCAGAUACCAUGUGAAGAAAUACACACCCAACAUACAUCUAACGCCUGCACGGAGAGAUGAGAGGCCCCGCGUGUGUGUGUGUGUGUGUGUGUGUACACACCCCAUGUGUGGUGGGUGUGCUGCGUAUUAGUGGGAUGGAGCCCCAUAGAAGUGUCUCUGCAUAUCUAUAAUAUGCGCAUGCCUCUGUGCACAGAUGAGUGUGUGUGUGUGUGUGUGUGUGUGUGUGUGUAAGGGGAAACAUGACUCUACGCCAGCUAAGGAGUGCUUCCAUCUGUUUCACCGUCCUCACGCGAAGCAUUGUCACUGGUACUUUGGGGAGCCUAUGAUCUCCUCGACUGACCCAAGAGCAGAUCUCAGCUGACACUUUUAUCUCCACUUCUCUGCCGGAAGACGCAGAUGGAGGAAGAGAAGUGAAGCGUAGGAAGUGGAUGAUUUGGAGGACAAUGAGGCAGAUAAGUACGGGGAUUGUGGGAAAGCUGGAGACGUAUUUAUCACAUGGUAAAGCCAAAUUGCAGAAUAAAAAGCAAGAAGAGAGCACAGCAUAGUCGAGUAGUUUUCCCGUGUGUUGCUUCUCAGAGUCUUUCUGCUUCCCCUCACUAUGUCUCCUCUGCUUUCUAGGGACACCAAGUGCAAAGCAUGGUCAUUCAGUUGUUGAUUCAGAACGUUUCUACGCCCACAUAGAUGGAAAUAAAAUAACCCUCUUUAAAUAUAAUUCUCUUUAAUUGCAGCUAAAUUUCAAACUCAGGCAUAUGGAAAUAUAAUAUACCCGACCAGGGUAUGAUUUAACAUUCUCAAGUGUCAUUGAAAAGUACUUGAGAAGAUAAUAAAUCCAUACAACUCCUGUUCUGUCUACUCCUACGCUUCAAUCUCGGAGCGGAAGGAGCUUAACUUUGCCUUCGCCCCCCGGGAUCAUCAAAAGUUCAAGAAACCUCCUGGAUAUGACGACUCUUUUGGUCGGCAAAAUGGUUAUCAUUUUAAAAGUGAGCAGCUUUCCACAAGUUGUUUAGAACUUAUUGUAAAUUCAAAUAAGCUCCGAGUGUGAGGCUGAGUUUUUUUUAAAUCAACUCGUCCUCCAGCUGCUGCCUCGCUCUUGAGAAAGUAAAUUGGAAAUCAGUUUUAAUUCUAAUUCUGCGUGCCAUGACAGUAUUUGGUUCUCCCACCUCCUGUGCACACACACGCGCACGCACACACGCACACCCAUACACACACACACCCACACACACACUCUACCCUAACCCUCCCAACCCUGCCGGCUUCCCAGGCUAAUCCCCUCUCUGGCGGCAUGAUCAGUUAAUGUGUGUGUGUGUGUGUGUGUCUGUCUAGCCCGGUGACCUUGCAGUUACACGCAACGAGGAUACAAAGUGAGAGGGCUCGCACGUCUGAGCUUACAGGCAGACACCCUGUUUUCACUGCCAGCGUACCGAUUGUACCGAUUCAGUGCAGCUCAUCGCCAUCAAUCAUUUAUCAUUACAAUAGGGUGGCUGUUGUUUCUGCAAAAUGAAUAACUAGACGCUGUGCUGCUGAAAGCUGCUCAUGAGCAUAUUUGGUUUGAUUUAAAAAUAAAUAAAUAACAGCAGUAUUUUCAACAAUAUUUGAGUCACAUACAGGCAGAGGAACAGACAUAAGCACACAUAAUCACAAAGAGGGGAACACACUCACAGCUGUCUGGCACCAGUUGUCAGCCUCUCUUUGUACCUCUCAUCACACAUCUCCGUGUGCAUUUCAUCUCUCUCUCUCUCUCUCUCUCUCUCUCUCUGUUUUUUAGUUACUGGUGAAUUACAGCGUGCUCCUACACUCCGCCUGUGCAGCUACUGCGUUCUGUUUGUAACCCUCGUCCUUCUCUGUCCUCUUUCUGUCUCUGCGUUCAGACACCACUUCCAGGUGCUGUUUCCAAUAUUCGUUUAUCUGCUGGUCUCCUGUUUGUGACUCCUUCUCUGAGGCGAGAAGUGAGUACAGAUGAAUGAGAUGAGAUGUUUUGUUUUUUGUUAAUUGCUGUGAGGUGCAGGGUUAGAAGUGCAGUCAAGUGCACGGCGCACCGAGGGAGUAGCUGCAGGCGUGAUGUGUAAACAGUGGAAAAUAGGUGAGAUUAGCUCGUACGUUAUCAGCGGGCAUGUCGAGCGCAGCUUAGGACCACAGAUUUCCAUGGACAUGUGAGUCAAAUCUUUCCGUGCACGUCAGCUGCAUUCUCUUGAUGUCAAAGGGUCACGUGAGAAUUGAGUGUGUAAGAGACAACAUGGACUGUUUGUUCUGAACAACAAUGGCGGCUCUUAAUGAGGUUUGCCCAGAUGCUGCAAUGGCAUGAGUAACAUCAGCAGUGGAGGGUGUCUCUCCUUUGGAAGACAAACAAAGAACGGCCCUGAAGGCUUUUCUCUAGGGAACAACUCUGUCAGGCGUUUGAUUGACAUAUGGUUCAUCCAAUCACUUGCCACAUAUUGUUUGAAAGCCUCUUUGCCAAACACUUUAAAAUGCCUUGUCUCAGAUGGUUUGGUGUAAUAACAUCUAGCGGAUCAGGUUCAAUCACCUCCACUUGUAAUAGUUUGUACAUUAUAAAGUAAGUAACUGUCGAAUUGUGAAUCUUAACCGGUCAGUUACUUGUUGGAGGAGGGAAAAAGUCUGAUUUCGUAAGACCAGGAAAACACAGUGGACAUCGUGCUUAAUAACAGACUCCAGAUGGAUCGCACGUGCCGCCUAGAAAGCUGAAUAGGUGUUGUAGAUGACAGAUGCAGAUAAGAAUCAACAAUUAUCUUCACUCUGCCUUCCUGCUCAUUAUCCGAAUAAGUAUAAUAUACAAAUGAAAGCGAAGAAAACUGUUUACUACGAUCUCGUCAAAUGUCUGCAAAAUACCAAACCACCACAUGAGAGAGAAAAGCCUCUCUGCAUUUCAGGAAAAUACCAUUUAUUGUGCGGCAUGUGCUCACAUGAUAACAGAGCCCAGAGGGAACGAGAGAGAAAGCAGAGGGAUGAGUUGUUUAUGUGGUUGAUUUGAUCAAAUACGUGAUAAACACGGGGCUGAGGUGACGGCAGGGAGGAGAAGUGUCAGAGUGUGUGAUUGCCGGUCGGGAAAAUGUCAGAGCAACAUUUUGUAGGAAAUGAGGUCUUGGCCACACCCUGGAAUCAAUAGUUAUUCCCCCGCCAACAAGAAAAACACGGAGCACAAGCAUUAUACAAGCAUCUGCACUGCGCGUGCAUCUGCCUUGCGAAAACAAGCUGUAUCACAUCAAUCCCAGCAAUCCUUUGCUCUUUCUCUCUUGACCUUCACUCAUUCCAUCAACCACUCUUUCAUCUGUCCUCCCUCGCUCAGAGCAUCCAUCCCGUCUUUCAUCUGUCCCUCUCUUCCCUCUAAUCCUUCCUUUCAACCGGGCCUGCUUUCUGCGUUGGAUGAUCCAUGUGUUCAUCGCCUGAUGAAAGGCUGAGCUCAACGUCUCCUGCCAAUCAGGAUGCAGCAGGAAGCUUCCCGAACACCUUUGAUAUACUUUACGUGUCAUCC